UUUCGAAAGGAACGCUAAUACCGCAUACGUCCUACGGGAGAAAGUGGGGGAUCUUCGGACCUCACGCUAUCAGAUGAGCCUAGGUCGGAUUAGCUAGUUGGUGAGGUAAAGGCUCACCAAGGCGACGAUCCGUAACUGGUCUGAGAGGAUGAUCAGUCACACUGGAACUGAGACACGGUCCAGACUCCUACGGGAGGCAGCAGUGGGGAAUAUUGGACAAUGGGCGAAAGCCUGAUCCAGCCAUGCCGCGUGUGUGAAGAAGGUCUUCGGAUUGUAAAGC
rnacentral:rRNA from 1 species